AAACAUCACCUCUAGCAUCACCAGUAUUAGAGGCACCGCCUGCCCAGUGACACAUGUUUAACGGCCGCGGUACCCUAACCGUGCAAAGGUAGCAUAAUCACUUGUUCCUUAAAUAGGGACCUGUAUUCGCCUGUUUNNUAAAAACAUAGCCCUCAGAAAUUAAUUUUGGGUGAAGCCUGCCCUAUGAUUAAAUUAAAUGGCCGCGGUACUCUGACCGUGCUAAGGUAGCAUAAUCAAUUGGCUUUUAAAUGGAGUCUGGAAUGAAAGGAAAUACGGGGUAUAGCUGUCUCUAAUUCUUUAUUAUGAAUUUACUAAUGAGGUGAAAAGGCCUCUAAAAGAAAAAAGACGAGAAGACCCUCAGAGUUUUCUUUUUUUGUUGGGGCGGCAUAGAGUCAAAAUGAACACUCUGGAUUAAAUAAGACGGUUUUAUCAUGUUUAGGCAAACUACCUGAGGGAUAACAGCAUAAUCUUUUUUGGGUUUGUGACCUCGAUGUUGGACUAGGAAGUCUGCUAGCUAGCCGCUAGUAAGAGGGAUUCUGUUCGAAUUUUAACUCCUACGUGAUCUAGUNNNAAACCGGAAAUCCUAUUCUAGAGUCCAUAUCAACAAUAGGGUUUACGACCUCGAUGUUGGAUCAGGACAUCCCAAUGGUGCAGCCGCUAUUAAAGGUUCGUUUGUUCAACGAUUAAAGUCCUACGUGAUCUGA
rnacentral:rRNA from 1 species